UUGUUAAGGAGGAAAAUCAGGAUCAUGCAGAAGAGCACAUGUUCAGCAAGUCUUCUCCUCAGCUUACCAUAAACAGAAAUCACCUAGGAGUCAACACCUGAUCAAGCCUCACACCUGCAGCUGCUGUAGUCGCCUGCUGUAGCCGCCUGCUGUCCUGGUUUCAAGGCUCCCAUGUUUUCUGCUUCUUUUAUGGUCAAACACAUGUGAUUGAUAUUGGAACUUGCUCCUCUGUAUGUCUUUUUCUUCUCUGUAAAUUGUCUUACUCUAAGGACCACCGAGUCUUUGUAUACACCUUUGUAAAUUCACUCUCUAUAAAUAGAAUUAUAUCUCUGCACUUGGAUUUAACCAAGCUGAGAAUUCCUCAA